rnacentral:rRNA from 1 species
AUUGAACGCUGGCGGCAGGCUUAACACAUGCAAGUCGAGCGGGGGAAGGUAGCUUGCUACCGGACCUAGCGGCGGACGGGCGAGUAAUGCUUAGGAAUCUGCCUAUUAGUGGGGGACAACAUCUCGAAAGGGAUGCUAAUACCGCAUACGUCCUACGGGAGAAAGCAGGGGAUCUUCGGAACUUGCGCUAAUAGAUGAGCCUAAGUCGGAUUAGCUAGUUGGUGGGGUAAAGGCCUACCAAGGCGACGAUCUGUAGCGGGUCUGAGAGGAUGAUCCGCCACACUGGGACUGAGACACGGCCCAGACUCCUACGGGAGGCAGCAGUGGGGAAUAUUGGACAAUGGGGGGAACCCUGAUCCAGCCAUGCCGCGUGUGUGAAGAAGGCCUUAUGGUUGUAAAGCACUUUAAGCGAGGAGGAGGCUACUUUAGUUAAUACCUAGAGAUAGUGGACGUUACUCGCAGAAUAAGCACCGGCUAACUCUGUGCCAGCCGCCGCAGUAA